CUACGGGCGGCUCCAGUGGGGAAUCUUAGACAAUGGGGGAAACCCUGAUCUAGCCAUGCCGCGUGAGCGACGACGGCCCUAGGGUUGUAAAGCUCUUUCAGCAGGGAAGAUAAUGACGGUACCUGCAGAAGAAGUCCCGGCUAACUCCGGUGCCAGCAGCCGCGGUAAUACGGAGGGGACUAGUGUUGUUCGGAAUUACUGGGCGUAAAGCGCGCGUAGGCGGAUUGUUAAGUCGGGGGUGAAAUCCCGGGGCUCAACCCCGGAACUGCCCUCGAUACUGGCAGUCUUGAGUUCGAGAGAGGUGAGUGGAAUUCCGAGUGUAGAGGUGAAAUUCGUAGAUAUUCGGAGGAACACCAGUGGCGAAGGCGGCUCACUGGCUCGAUACUGACGCUGAGGUGCGAAAGCGUGGGGAGCAAACAGGAUUAGAUACCCUUGUAGUC
rnacentral:rRNA from 1 species